UUUUUGUUCGGCCUAUAUAGCCGAUUUUUACAACCUUUAAACUUCUAUCUUUUGUCGUUUUGUUGCUUGGCCUUUUCUGCUUUUGUGUGUGGCUCUUGAUUUUGCAGGUACCUGAGGCAUGGAUGGCCGGUGAUAGAAGAGUCUAGAGCGGUGGCGGCGUGCUUGAGGCUGGCGGCUAGUUGUCAGACCUAGGUGCGGCACACCUAAGGUUUCUGCCUCUCAUUUUGCUGAAAAUUUAUUUUAGAUUUUGGGCCAUUUGGGCUUUGAGAUUUUGCUUUAUUUGGGUAAUAAUUGAGUUUGUAAUUUGGGCUGAUAAUUUAGACUACUUAUUUUUAUUUUGGAUUUUAU
rnacentral:lncRNA from 1 species